AUCUUGAGUAGUACAUUUACAUAAAUGAUACAUACAAGGUUUCAUAAAUAAAUGAUUUGGUGUGACUUGGAAUAUUAAUUGACGAUGAGUAUUUUCCAUAAGUAAUACUGUUGGUAGAAUUAUUUUAUGAAGUGAGUUUUAUUUAUGAGUAAUCACUGCUUAGUAGAGUAAAGUGUAUUGUAGUAUUCAUCAGCUAUUUCUUUUCAAGUGUAUGAAUAUAGGGAAUAAUAUAAAUUAU
rnacentral:lncRNA from 1 species